rnacentral:misc_RNA from 1 species
CAUCCAAAGAUCGCCGAGGAGGCUGCCAGUUAACAAAUAUUGAUGAUGCAAAAAAAGUUAGUAUCAUGUAUUAACUUGAGUGCUCAGGCACCUCAACAUUUUAUUCACGAAGUUCUUGGCUUAAGAAAAGGAAUGCCAAUCAACAAGAUUCUCAACAUUUUAUUCACGAAGUUCUUGGCUUAAGAAAAGGAAUGCCAAUCAACAAGAUU